rnacentral:rRNA from 1 species
GACGAACGCUGGCGGCGUGCUUAACACAUGCAAGUCGAACGGAAAGGCCCUGCUUUUGUGGGGUGCUCGAGUGGCGAACGGGUGAGUAACACGUGAGUAACCUGCCCUUGACUUUGGGAUAACUUCAGGAAACUGGGGCUAAUACCGGAUAGGAGCUCCUGCUGCAUGGUGGGGGUUGGAAAGUUUCGGCGGUUGGGGCUGGACUCGCGGCUUAUCAGCUUGUUGGUGGGGUAGUGGCUUACCAAGGCUUUGACGGGUAGCCGGCCUGAGAGGGGGACCGGCCACAAGGGUACUGCGAGACGGAGCAGACUCCUACGGUAGGCAGCAGUGGAGAAUAUGGCACAGUGAGCGGAAGCCUAAUGCAGAGACGUCGGGGGCGGGAUGACGGCCUGUGGGGUGUAAACCGCUUUCGCCUGUGACGAAGCGUGAGUGACGGUAAUGUGUAAAGAAGCACCGGCUAACUACGUG